rnacentral:lncRNA from 1 species
UGUAUUUUGUUUUUGCAAACAUCCACAACCUUAUUUUCGGCUACCUAUAUAAAUACCUGUCUUGUAUUGUCAACAAUCUGUAUGCACGAUGUCCUCACCUUUUCAAUAACAAUGAAUUUGUGUUUCGGUGGCGAAGGCACAGAUGCAGAAUGUAAAUCACUUGCCACAAUGGAUUGCCACGUGGAUUGCUUAGAUAAGAAUCGAAAGUUAUGGUGCAAUUAAGGAGGCUCUUUCUAUAAGCUGAGCUGGGCUAAGCUGGAGCUUAAGAUUUGUUGGUGCAACCAGGAAUUAAUUGAAGCUCGGUAUUUGGAUGUGGGUCACGAAUAAAAACUAAAAAUUUGGUUU